CCCUUAGAUGUUCUGGGCCGCGCGCGUGCUACACUGAGUAAAUCAAUGGGUAAGGGAACACGAAAGUGCAACCUAAUCUUGAAAUUUGCUCGUGAUGGGGAUCGACGGUUGCAAUUUUCCGUCGUGAACGAGGAAUACCUUGUAGGCGCGUGUCAUCAUCACGCGCCGAAUACGUCCCUGCCCUUUGUACACACCGCCCGUCGCUCCUACCGAUUGAGUGAUCCGGUGAGGCUCUGGGACCUGGACGGAAAGAGCGUUUCGCUUGUUCUGUUUGGGAAACUUGGUCGAACCUUAUCAUUUAGAGGAAGGAGAAGUCGUAACA
rnacentral:rRNA from 1 species